GGCUGGUUAGCUCAGCUGGUUGAGCGUGGUGCUGACAACACCAAGGUCAUGGGUUCGAUCCCCGUUCGGUCC
rfam:Apaloderma vittatum contig72973, whole genome shotgun sequence.